rnacentral:rRNA from 1 species
GAUGAACGCUGGCGGCGUGCCUAAUACAUGCAAGUCGAGCGAACGGACGAGAAUCUUGCUUCUCUGAUGUUAGCGGCGGACGUGUGAGUAACACGUGGAUAACCUACCUAUAAUACUGGGAUAACUUCGGGAAACCGGAGCUAAUACCGUAUAAUAUUUUGAACCGCAUGGUUCAUAAGUGAAAUACGGUCUUUCUGUCUCUUCUAGAUUGUUCCGCGCUGCAUUAGCUAGUUGGUAAGGUAACGGCUUACCAAGGCAACGAUGCAUAGCCGACCUGAGAGGGUGAUCGGACACAAUGGAACUGAGACACGGUCCAGACUCCUACGGGAGGCAGCAGAAGGGAAUAUUACGCAAUGGGCGAAAGCAUGACGGAGCAACGCCGCGUGAGUGAUGAAGGUCUUCGGAUCGUAAAACUCUGUUAUUAGGGAAGAACAUAUGUGUAAGUAACUGUGAACAUCUUGACGGUACCUAAUCAGAAAGCCACGGCUAACUACGUG